UCUUGAUCACAAUCAAUUUCUUCUUUCUUAAUCUUCUCCUCCUUUCAAUAUUAUAUUGUUUACCCUUACUUAUACUCAGUUACAUUGUACGACUAUAAGCUCACCUUAAGUAUACUUCUUCACGACGCAUACCUUAAGCAUUCGCCCUACCCUGUAAGCCCUACUAGGUAUUCUUAUUGUCUACCUUAGGCCACCGCCUUAGCUAUUGCUAGUCAUCCUAGAUAUUCCUCUUGACGUUAUAUCUUAACCUGUGAUAGUGGCACUACCUCCUGAUCUAGUGAACAAGCUCAGCAACACUAUAUAAGCCCCGACCUUACCUUAUACCAGUGAGAAGCUUGCUAGGUUAGAGACUCGGUAGCAAGAAUCUUCUUUUAUUAUUGAUAGCACAGACAAUAUGAGAGGUAAGAGUGAGCUCAAAUGAGUUUCUUCAGAUUCAAAGAGCUUAUUAUUUGAAAACUGACUGCUCAGCAUCUUGCACACUUUUCUUAUAUAAAAUAGAUGAGUUUGAAAUAGAAUAAUGAAGCUCAAGAUUGUCACAGUAUGUAAUUGAUUAAAUAUGUCAAAACCACUAUAAGACUAGAGUGGCAAGCAAGGUUUGAAAAAUCAACACCGGCGGCACGCUAAUAUCCACUUUUUGGGUGCAGGUUUAACAGAGGUAAACUGUGCAACCGAACACGCCCUAAAUGUGUUAGUGGGUACUAUGGCUACCCUAUCACGUGCCCCCAACAUAUUGUGUUGCUUUCACGUAGAUAGUUAGUAAUGACCACAACGUUAUCCUCCUACAAAAUGGUUGUGCUCAUAGUGGUAUAGAUACCGGUCGGUGGUGUGGCCCGGUUAUAGCCACCCAUCUCACCACCUAUACACUACAACCAUCAGUUGCACUCAUUCGUAGAUAUUACAGAUGCUAAUUAAUGAUUAAUUUCCUUUGUCUUAAUGGCCUACUAAUAUGAAUAAAGGUCACUAUCAUAUAGUAAGGUUAACAAGAAUAUAGUUUGAAUUAUACUAAAUGACUUGAUUAUUGAAGGGG
rnacentral:sRNA from 1 species